UAAUACCUUCCCGUAAAUUCUUGAAGAGCCUUGAUCAUUCUUUUUCUAUUGGAAUGAGGUUCAAAAUGCGUUUUGAAACAGAAGAUGCAGCAGAAAGAAGAUGUAUGGGAAUAAUAACUGGAAUUAGUGACCUAGAUCCUGCUAGAUGGCCUGGUUCAAAAUGGAGAUGCCUUGUGGUAAGGUGGGAUGAUAUGGAGACUAGCAGGCACAGCAGGGUUUCUCCUUGGGAAAUUGAGCCAUCUGGUCCUGUUUCCAGUUCCAGUAACUUUAUGGCACCUGGUUUGAAGAGGAGCAGGUCUGGAUUGCCUUCAUCAAAACCAGAAUUUCCAGUUCCUGAUGGGAUUGGUGUAUCAGACUUUGGG
rnacentral:misc_RNA from 1 species